GUAGGUGGCAAGCGUUGUCCGGGAAUUAUUGGGGCGUAAAGCGCGCGCAGGCGGUUCUUUAAGUCUGAUGUGAAAGCCCACGGGCUCAACCGUGGAGGGUCAUUGGAAACUGGAGAACUUGAGUACAGAAGAGGAAAGCGGAAUUCCACGUGUAGCGGUGAAAUGCGUAGAGAUGUGGAGGAACACCAGUGGCGAAGGCGGCUUUCUGGUCUGUAACUGACGCUGAGGCGCGAAAGCGUGGGGAGCAAGCAGGAUUAGAUACCCUGGUAGUCCACGCCGUAAACGAUGAGUGCUAAGUGUUAGGGGGUUUCCGCCCCUUAGUGCUGCAGCUAACGCAUUAAGCACUCCGCCUGGGGAGUACGGCCGCAAAGGCUG
rnacentral:rRNA from 1 species